rnacentral:rRNA from 1 species
CAGUAGCCGCGGUAAUGCGUAGGUGGCAAGCGUUGUCCGGAAUUAUUGGGCGUAAAGGGCUCGCAGGCGGUUUCUUAAGUCUGAUGUGAAAGCCCCCGGCUCAACCGGGGAGGGUCAUUGGAAACUGGGAAACUUGAGUGCAGAAGAGGGGAGUGGAAUUCCACGUGUAGCGGUGAAAUGCGUAGAGAUGUGGAGGAACACCAGUGGCGAAGGCGACUCUCUGGUCUGUAACUGACGCUGAGGAGCGAAAGCGUGGGGAGCGAACAGGAUUAGAUACCCCUGUAGUCCCUGUCUCUUAUAC